rnacentral:rRNA from 1 species
UGGGGAAUCUUGGACAAUGGGCGCAAGCCUGAUCCAGCCAUGCCGCGUGGAUGAUGAAGGCCUUAGGGUUGUAAAAUCCUUUCGUUGGGGACGAUAAUGACGGUACCCAAAGAAGAAGCUCCGGCUAACUUCGUGCCAGCAGCCGCGGUAAUACGAAGGGAGCUAGCGUUGUUCGGAAUCACUGGGCGUAAAGCGCACGUAGGCGGAUAGUUAAGUCAGGGGUGAAAUCCUGGGGCUCAACCCCAGAACUGCCUUUGAUACUGGCUGUCUCGAGGUCGAGAGAGGUUGGUGGAAUUCCUAGUGUAGAGGUGAAAUUCGUAGAUAUUAGGAAGAACACCAGUGGCGAAGGCGGCCAACUGGCUCGAUACUGACGCUGAGGUGCGAAAGCGUGGGGAGCAAACAGGAUUAGAUACCCCAGUAGUCCCUGAGCGGGCUGGCAAGGCGCAU